GAUGAAGAACGCAGUGAAAUGCGAUAAGUAAUGUGAAUUGCAGAAUCCAGUGAAUCAUCGAAUCUUUGAACGCACAUUGCGCCCGCCAGUAUUCUGGCGGGCAUGCCUGUCUGAGCGUCAUUUCAACCCUCAUGCCCCUAGGGCGUGGUGUUGGGGAUCGGCCAAAGCCCGCGAGGGACGGCCGGCCCCUAAAUCUAGUGGCGGACCCGUCGUGGCCUCCUCUGCGAAGUAGUGAUAUUCCGCAUCGGAGAGCGACGAGCCCCUGCCGUUAAACCCCCAACUUUCCAAGGUUGACCUCAGAUCAGGUAGGAAUACCCGCUGAACUUAAGCAUAUCAAUAAGCGGAGGA
rnacentral:misc_RNA from 1 species